GAAGAUUGCGUGAAAUGAUUGGAUUCUCGUGAAAAAUAAAACAUUUUGGAAAAUAAUAAGAACUUCAAAUAAUAUUUUAAACGCACUUUUAGGAAAAAUAUACACAGGUUUUAGUUUACAAUUUCACGUACCUAUUAAAUUCAUCAUACACUGGGCGCAAUUCAAAGUACUAUAGCCACUAUUUGUGGAGAAGACCCAGUUGAGGAGUCUCGCUCAAUGCAUUCAGACACACUAUAUUUUAUCUGAUCAAUUGGUUCAGCUUGUUCAUUCGUACAAUCAUCGGCAGACGAUAUUAAGCUGACACAAAGUAGUGGUAGUGCGGACUAUGAGUUAUUUGUAACCGUAGUAGUUGGUGGCCGAAUUGGGACCUCAUCAUAGAACACUGUACCAGGAUUUAUGGAAUACCCAACAGUCACACGUUUCCCUUCAUCGGUUCCUAAGGAUUUUCAAUCAUUUAAGAAACAACCUCUAUAGGGGAUGAGUGAAUGAACUUAUAAUGUUGCUAUAGCAUCAUUAUUGCAGCAUGGGGUAUAAAAAUAUCCACAGAUAAACUACACGAGACAAAAAAUUUAAGAGGACAAUUGAUCGCUUCACAUGACAGGUGCUUAGUCGUAUUUUUGGAAACUAUUGUCAGAACGAACGUGAUCAUCUAUACAAGUUGCGGUGAUUUAAAGGUAGA